CUGAAGCAAAUAGGGUAAAACGACUGCUCUUUACUGGUACAUCUAAGCACAUAGUAGUAGGUAUAAAUAUUUAUUCCAUUUCCCCUUUCCCAUUUCACUUACAGUAAGAGAUAAGAUAAUUGGAUACUUUAAUGAAAUGAGGUUAAAUCUCAAUCGAUUAAAUAAACUUCAGUUUGAGAUUCUGUUUUUAGUUUAUUUAUUUAGUUAAUUUAGAAUAUUUUUCCAUGGUUACAUGAAUCCUAUUCUUUCCUUACCCUCCUCCCACCUCCCUCCCACAGCCAUUCAAGUUUAGAUUCUUAAUUCUAUUGAUAAACUGAAAAAAACUUUUUUUGAUAACUUUCAAUAUUAUCGGUUUCCUUUUUAAUUACACAUUUUAUUUUAUGUAUUUAGAAAUAGUAUUCCAACAAGUCCAUAAGUUUUGCCAGAUUACCAAAGGAGUCAAUGAGACAAAAAAGGUGAAGAACUUCUCUUUAAGACAAAGGCUGUUGAAUGAAGAAGAAUCUUGUUGGUUAGGUCAUGCCUGAGAGUCAUUAUAAAAUAUCAAACUACUUGAGAAGCAGAGUAAUUCCAGAGAUUGGAGUGAGGCAUCUCAGUAAAACCCCUGAGGAAGAAUUUCUUGGAAGAGAGAAAGAGUCCUUGGCUUUGGUGUUAGUCUAAGUUUCUUUCCUGCUCUCUGACCCACUUGGCUGAUAGAGGAUUUUUCAAGCUUUGGAGGGUCAGGAGGAUCCUGGACUUACCAUUUUCUCAUCAGUAUCCUAGCACUAAUCCUCAUGGGAUAGCAGUGGCUGGCAGUUGUGUCUGCAUUGGGAGCCAAGGACAAAUUAGACACAGAUUCACAGCUCUAUAAAGAACCCAACAUAGAAACUAUACCAUGUUUAAGGGGAACUUCUUGAGUAUCCCACAUAGAAAAGAAAAGAACUUUCAGCAACCAAGAGUUAUGAGUUACCCCUUUGCCAAAUGUGUUCUCUUAACUUGAACCCACUUUCACUUGGCCUCUGUAUAUACUAGGAGAAUAUGUUAGAGAUUUCUGAGGGGAUGUUUUAUACUCUAACAAAUUGCAACACCUAUUGUUACUAUUACACUUUAUAAACACCCCUUUCUAAAAGUUACUCAAGACUAGGUGACAAAAUUGAUUCUUAACUGGUAGUCUUAAGAAGAAACAAACCAGUGGGGGCUUGUGAAUUGUAGCCCUAGAAGAGAUGCCUCCUGAAACCUCAGGGCUACCCAUAGAAGUCAAAGGGAUUGUAGCAGUCAGACUCUGGGGCCAGUGGGAGCUGAGUUUAUCACCUCAGAGCAUGUGCUGCAUCAGAGACUGGAUUAGCCUCUGGGGAAAGAUGACUGACUUCCUGGAAGUCAAGAGGAUAGAUUCCUACUGGAAGAGCCACUUCUUUGGUGGAUGGAUAUAAAAGAGAUUGGACAGAUCAACUUAGCCCUUUUUUUCUGGACUCUUUCAUCUUUGAUGUUGCUGUUUAAAGAAUCUACCAGAAUGUGACAGAGAAGACCUAUAUAUUCCCAAGAGAAGAGAAAAGGAACACUGUCAGAGGAACCUGUGCUUAUACACUUUCUUCUUCCAGGAAUGGAUGAUGACAGUUUUGGGGGCAAAAUCACACAGGAAUUACAUGUGUUUGCCCAUCACUUUCUGACCAUGGGCCAGGGUCUGGACUUUCUCAACCCAAGAGAUGAAUACUCUGGGUGUAGGACAUGAGCCAAAAGAGGAACAUUUUUAGAUAGCCCUCAGUAAUGCAGACACAUGAAUCCUUUAAAGUAGUGAUAUCAAACUGAAAUAGAAAUGGUUGCCAUUAAACUGACCAUAAGGAGCCAGUGUAAGAAAUGAUGAAAAAGAUGAGAUCUGAGAACAUUGGGAAGGAUGAACUGAUGAAGAGCGAAGUGAGAAAAAAUGGAACAAUUCAUACAAGGACAAAAACUGAAGAAAAACUAUCCUGAAAGACUUAAGAAUUAAGAAUUAAGAGCAAUAACCAACCAUGGCUCCAGAGGACCUAUGAUAAAUAUGUUGCCCAUUUCCUUCUUGUUAGAGGACACAGUUUUGGAUAAAAGAGGGCCAGUGGGAAAAAAUAUAUACACAGAAAAAGAAGAAACUUCAGAAGGAAGCACAGACAAGCAAGACAACCUUGAAAGUAACAUGUAGAAUUUAUUAUAUAGAUAGGUGGCACAGGGCAGCUAGUGGCACAGUGGAUAGAGUGCUUGACUGGAGUCAAGAAAAUUCAUCUUCCUAAAUUCAAAUCUGGCCUCAGACAUUUAUCAGCUGUGUAAUCCUGGGUGAGUUACUUAACCCUGUAUGCCUCAGUUUCCUCAUCUGUAAAAUGAGCUGAAGAAGGAAAUGGUAAACUACUCCAGUAUUUUUGCCAAGAAAACCCCAACUGGGGUCACAAAGCAUCUGACAAUUCUGAAAAAUGACUGAACAACAAAAAUUUUAGAAGUAAAUGGUAUAAAAGGGAUAUUUACAGUUUCUUAUGUAUGUCCUAUAUAUUUGUAAAUGGUUGUUUUUUGUUUUUUGUUUUAAUUCAGAAUAAAAAAAGAACAAAUACAUAAGAUGUAAACAUCUCAAAUAACCCAUUAAAUUCAUUUUAUUCCCCUCAUCAGGGGAGGGAAGGGAAACUUUCUGGGCCCUAUCAAUACAUAUUUCCCAUUCUACUUAGAUCUAAGAUUGUUUUAGCAAAUUUACAAUCCAGACCUCCUUAUCAACCAAGGCAAUGGCCUUCUUCAGUGUUUUGAGCUACAAGAUCCUGGCAGUGGCCAUCUCCUUCCUAUCUGUGAAGCUUUGGGAAUCUCCAUUCUACCUGAAUCUAGAAUCCUUGGGAACCCUUCAUCCAUGAGGUUACCAUCAAAGCUCAUAUGAGUUCAGGUAAGGAAACAAAAAGACAAGAUGGCAACUAGAACAUUGAGGUUAUAUGUCAGGGUUUCACAUGUCCAUGCUGCAAGCUGCCACUGCUACUAGAGGAGAGGGGAUUUGGGAAUAGUGAAAUCCCCUUGCCAGAAGUAUAAGGGAAAGGAAUCCAUGGAAGAAUCCCCUUAGAGGGCAGAGCCAUUUCUGUAACUCUUUUUCUAGACUGGGGAAUGGGGACAAAUUUCCUGGACCAUGAGUCCAUGACUCAAUUGUCAAUCAAGUGCCUUAGGACCAGUUAGAAGUUUCAGUGUCAUCCCAGUAAACUAAGUGCUUUAGUAAGAGAUCAGAGCCUAUGUCCAUCUUCAAGAGGAGUGGCCCAAUCCAUUAAACCAGGGGUUCUCCUGAUCAUCUUUGUCACCAAAAAUAUAGAAUUUUAUGAAAAAGCCCCAUGAAGUAGAAAUUCCUCUCCCUUAAAAAAAUUCCAAUAGGAAUAAAAAAAUCAGUCUUGUAAGGUAUAUGAAUAAGUAAAAAUUGCCAGUAAUAGUUAGAGUGCUAAGAAUUCUACUCUGUGGUUGUAGUAUGGUUUUAUUUUUUGCAAUUAAUUUAUUUCUCUCUCUUUUUAUUUUUCAACCAUCUACUUUCCUGGAAAGAAGCACUAUAAAGGAACUGUCUUCUUCAAUACUCUAGCUCCAUUUUGACUUUUACUAUUAACAAUCCAGGUAAUCUCACUACUUUAGUCUUAUAAACAUAGUCCAUUAUCUUUCAGGCUAACCUCUCUUCAUCCCUUCACUGUUAGAGACACUUUUGUCUCCUUUUCUCUAAUGCAUGCUAUCACAGGUCUGAAUUUGACACUACCCUUUCCUCCCUGUCACUAAGAAAUAAAUGUCACUAAAGUCAUGAUACUCCCUCCCACCUCCUGCAAAAUCUCUAACACUACUUUUUGCCUUUGCCUGUCUCUAAAACUGUUACCAAUGUUUUAUCCUGUGCUGCAAGACAAAAUAGUCUUAAAUGACAGCUAGGGGGAUUUAUCUUAUAAGUAAGAAAGAAUUUCCUGCCCACAAAACACUGGGAAAAAGCUCUUGAGGGAAUCUGGUGCCAUCUUUAAGAAUAAGAUAGAUUGACCUUGUGGGGAAAAAUGAUUUUAAAUUUUUUAACCCCAACCUUUAUCCCUCAGCUAGCUGUGCUUAUGACAUAGAUUUUUCUCCCCAAAGGAUUUAGAAAAAAGAUGUAAUUUUAUUAUAUUUUCUUUAGUGUGGUUGCCCAGUUACUAUUCAGUCUGCUCUAAUUCCUUUUACUCUUCAGAAUAUUUUUUUUUACAAGACCAAUCAUUUCAUUAGUAUAAGAAACUCCCAGGGAGGAUAUUCCCUCUACCAAUCUAUCUAUCUAUCUAUCUAUCUAUCUAUCUAUCUAUCUAUCUAUCUAUCUAUCUAUAUCUAUCUAUAUAUAUAUAGGUAUCUGUUUUGUACUUUUAAGGUCUUAAGUGAGCUGACUAGAACUUCCAGGCUAAUCAAUUUGCUCAGGGUUAUAUACCACUAUAUGUCAGAGGUAGGAUUUGAACCCAGGUCUUUUCACUCUGAAACAUUCCUCAGAUCCCAUUCCGUGGUCCUCUUCUCCCAUUAGUGAGUUUCUUUUGGAACCUUCAUGUGAGGAAGACACCAGGCCAGUCAUUCUUCACUUCUCUCCUGGCUCUAUUUCUGACUCUCUGGACUUUGUUAUCAUGUUUCCUAGUAAGUACCCCUUCAAUUUCUGCCCCCUCCCCACAGACACCUUUUUUAAUUCUUUUUUUUUUAUGUCAUGAUACUCCCUUCUCUUUAGAAUGCAAACUCCUUGAGGUCAGGGACUAUUUUUACAUUUUUAUUUAUUUAGAGUUUUGCAAGAAAUUCUGCUUGGCACAUAGGCAACACAUAAUAAAUGCCUUCUGAUUUAAUGAUGUCUUGAUUAUUAGGUCAAUUCUUUAUUCACUGACAGAGUACCUCUUAGCAAUUUUUAAGUGCAAAUUUACAUUCUAGGCAAGCUCAGAGAACAAUUAUAGGUUUCCUGGCAACUGGAUAUUAGCUACUUUGCUAUGAUAGCAAAUAUUCCAAGUCCCUUUGUUCUACUUUUUGUUUUCCAGUCUAGCCAGUGCCUCUUUGGUUUAACUUAAAGACCGUUUUGGAGUUGAGAUCCUGUGGUGUGAAUUUCUGUUCCAUGAUAAGCCCUACCUGGACUAAGCAUAAGCCAGUUUUAGCUGAAGGUUGGUCCCAGACCCAAAUAAAACCGAUCUAGGAGCAACUCUUACAAGUUCAUGCUGCCCAUAGGGGAGGAUUAGACCCGUUUUAUUGUUCUAAGGGACUAUGCAUCACUGAAUAGUGUAUCAUUGCUCCAAGCACAGUAUAUUGAAGCCAUUGCCCUGGGGACCAAAGUGAAAAAGGGUUCUUGGCAUCUUACUCAGAACCUGAGCAAUAUACUAAAAUAAUGACGGAUCCCAGUUAGGAAUAUUUCUUGAAGCAGAGUAUGAGAAAGAAAAAAGGGAGAAGGCAGGGAACCUGGACAAAAUGAAUUGAGAAUGUUUGGACUAAAAAGCUGAGAUCUAAUGUAGAUUUAAAAAAUGCUCUUGUGAGAGAAAAGAUAAUGAAUCACUUCACAAAAAUGUAUCACCUCCAUACCCUUCUUUUCAGUCACAUAGCCACUGUACAUAUCCUGGCACUCAUUGUCUCAUUUGGACCACUGCAGCUGCCUUCUCAAGGGCCUACAUGCUUCAAGUCUCUCCUUACUCCAACCCAUUUUCUUUUCUUUUAAAAAUGUUUUUUUUUGUUUUAAUAACGAAUUUCCACAUGAGUUUUCUGAAGUUAUGUAAUCCAAAUUGUCUCCCUCUCCUUCCCUCCCCACUCUGGUAGCUGGCAAGCAAUUCAGUCUGAGUUAUACAUGUAUUAUGAUACAAAAACAUGUUUUCAUAUUGUUCAUUUUUAUAAGUGAAUAAUCCUAUGAAACCCAAACCCCCAAAGAUAUACCCAAAUAAACAAGUGAUAAAUCAUGUUUUCACCUGCAUGCCUACUCCAACACUUCUUUCUCUGGAGAUGGAUAGCAUUCUUUUUCAUAAAUCCUCAGAUUGUCUUGUAGUUCUUCUAGUAGCAAAGUCUAUCAUAUUUGAUCAUUCCACAAUAUUGGGUAUAAUGAUCUCCUGGUUCUGCUUAUUUUAUUCAACAUAAGUUCAUGUAGGUCUUUCCAGCUUUCUGAAAUAAUCCUGUUCAUCAUGCCUUAUAGCACAAUAGUAUUACAUCACCAUCAUAUAACAUAAUUCGUUCAUCCAUUACUCGAUUGAGGGGCAUCCUUUUAGUUUCCAAUUCUUUGCCACCACAAAAAGAGCAGCUAUAAAUAUUUUUGUACAAACGGGUCCUUUCCCAAUUUUUUUUUCUCUUUGGGAUACAGAGCCAGUAGUGAUAUCACUGGAUCAAGAGAUAUGCAUUCUUUUAUGGCUCUUUGGGCAUAAUUCCAAAUUGCCCUCCAGAAUGGUUGGAUCAAUUCACAACUCUACUAGCAAUGUGUUAGUGUCCCAGUUUUGCCACAUCCCCUCCAACAUUAUCAUUUUCCUUUACUGUCAUAUAGACCAAUGUGAUAGGUGGGAGGUGGUACCUCAGAGUUAUUUUGACUUGCAUUUCUCUAAUCAGGAGAGAUUUAGAAAAUUUUUUCAUAUGAUUUGAUAGCUUUGAUUUCUUCAUCUGAAAACUGUCUAUUCAUGAUCCUUUGACCAUAGUCAAUCUCUGUAUAUGUACCAUGUUCUGCUGAAAAGAGGGUAUAUUUCCUUUUAUUCCCAAUUAGCUUUCUGCAGAUAUCUGUUAAAUCUAACUUUUCUAAAAUUCAAUUCACUUCCCUUACUUCUUUUUUAUUUAUUUUUUGGUUAGGUUGAUCUAGUUCUGAUAGGGGAAGUUUAAGGAUCCACCCCCCAGUAUAGUUUUACUGCCUAUUUCCUACUUAAGUUUUUGUAGUUUCUCCUUUAAAAAUCUGGCUGUUAUAGCAUUUGGUGCAUAUAUACUAACUCCUGACAUUACUUCAUUGUCAAUACUACCUUUUAUGACGAUAUAAUUACCUUCUUUAUCUCAUUUAAUCAAAAUUUUCUUGCCUUUGCUUUGUUUUGCUUUUUUUGUUCUCAGUUGAAGUCCAAUAGAUUCUGCUACAGCCCCUUACCUUUACUCUGUGUGUGUCAACCUGCCUCAAAUGUGUUUCUUUUAAACAAUAUAUGGUAGGAUUCUGGUUUUUAAUCCACUCUGCUAUCU